CUGAAUUCCUUCCUAAUUUGUCACAUGCCUGAGAAAUGAAAAUGAAUGCAAGUACUCAAAUUGUUUUGUGCGGUGAUGUCCCACCUUGAGAUGUUGGGAGAGAUCUGAAAGCAUCACCUGAUACUCCUCACCUCCAAGACCUGUUGAAACAGAGCCCCUCUAACCGUCAUCAUAUCACGAAGCUGUUAUACAACGUAGAGAUCCUGUCUCCCCACCUGUGCUGCAGGGCUCCACACUACCAAAGAAGUAGUAGCAGGAAAAAAAUGACCAGGAUGGACUCAGGCUCAGCAAGCCUGUUACGAUGAGAAGAUUCUUCUUUCUGCCAUUGGUCUCUUUUAUUUAGGAGGGAAAAAACCACAGAAUAAAGCAAAACUUAAGGCUGAAAAGCAGUUAUUUCUAUCAAAAAGUUUUCCAUAGUACCUUAUAGAGUUAUAGUUCUGAUGUGUGGUUCCUUAUUUUCAUUUGGGACAGCAUGGUUCUGUUUGACUGGAGCUCUUGCAGCCCAGGGAGCUGCAACAGAGUCCCAUGUGCAGCGGGAUAUAAUGUUCAACUGGGAAACUCGCUGCAGGGGCGUAGGUGGAAAAGGAAUAUGAGCCAUCUGAAAUACAACUUUUAUGAGGUGUUACAAUAACUUAAAUUUAAAAAAUCCAUUUUGGUUUUGGCAUAAUCAUUUUUCAUCUCCACACCUUGAUGUUUUCCAGUUAAAAAAAAACCCAGCUCUCAUCCAUGGAAAGUAAACACUUCUAAGUGAAAGUGUUAGUUCAAAAGUUACUUUUCUUGUGAAGUUUCAAAAGAAACUUUCAACCAUCCACAGUAUUAAAAUUUCAAAAUUAAUUUUUCUCUUAAAAUAAAUUUCCUUUACUAUUUGUUAAAAAAUAAAAAGGAUCAAUGUGGGAAACAAUGUAGUAACAAAAUCAAACUAGUUAAACUACUUUCUUAUUUUUCUAUUAUUUCCCUUGUUGUGUGUAUGUUACACUGUGCUAUCUCUUAUCAACAUGGUCCUGUGCUGUGAAAUUAAAUCAAUAACCACUGUGCCUAAAUUGAACUCUGAGGGGUAAAAAAACAACCCACCUCACACUAUUAUUAUUUUUCCUUUCAUUUCUUAUUUAUUUUGCCUUGUCUUUGUGUAGUAAUCCAAGCUUGUUCCGAAUGAGCACCAUUGGGUAUAACACACUAUCACAUAAAUUAUGUGAUGCUGUACAGCUGCUUUGCACUCGGAAGAUAUUGUUGAAAAAGUUGAGACAAUUUUCAGGUGAUUGAAAAUCUGCAUCUUUUUUCAUGGUAAUAUGAUUUGCUGUGAGGAAAAAAGGUGUGGUUGUGGUGAGGUUUAAGAAAAACACAACAGAAUUUCCUUAAUUGUGUCCUCACCUUAUUUUCCAGCAUAUGGGCAAUUGUACAAAUUUGAAAAGAACAAGAAAUAUGAGGGCUGAGGUCAUUCGGACAGCCAGUGGCAUCACAAGUGAGGUCUAAGGCUUUCAAAUAAGACCAUUGCUGCCAGCCCUGCCCAGGAGGACUGCUGCCUGGCUGUGAAGAGCUAGGAGCUUUGCUAAUGCAUCUGCUGCUUCUCGAGGAACCUGACCUCAGGCCUUGGAGGAUGCUCUCCUGAGAGAUUUCUGUUGUUCAAGCAGCAGCAUGCAGUCAAAUGCCACAGUCUGGAGGUAAGUUACCUACCACUCUUUAAUUAUUUGGUAGUUCCGGCUGUCCAACAUUAUCUGACCUCCCAUUUUUCUCCCAACAACACAUGCUGGAAAUUACAUUUUUAAUGUCUUUCAGCCACUGAAACAAAUAUACUGAUGGGGCUCAAAAUUUUAAAUUCCAAAUAAUAUAUAUAGGCUAAAGGUAAAAUAAUAAAGUAAAGCUACUUUGAAAACUCCAAGAUUAAAUCCUUUGAACAUUUUGUUAAAACAUAGAGUGGCUACCACAGGCUAAUGAAAACGUGCUUUAAAUGCCUGCUAAGAAUCCUAGGUGGA